ACAAAACAAAAAAAAAAGGGGGGAGAAAAGAAAGUGGAAUAAAGGAAAUGAGUGUAAGCUAUACAUCAUCUAUGUUUAUGCUUUUGGCUGUAGCAAGAACAGCCGAGUGAGAGGGAAAGAAAACCGUGAGUGAGAGAGAGAAAAGAGAGCUCAACUUUUAAAGAAGGAAACCCAAAGUUGUGCUGGAAAUUGUAAAGGAAGAAGAAGACUCAAGGGGGAAAUCAUCAAUAAUCUUUGAAAUUAGAGCUUGAGGUGGGCAUCCGAGGCCUUAUAUCAACUUAACCCACUGUGAUCAGGCGCGCGACUAGGCUUAGAAGCAUCUACCUGGAAUCUGUUUUUGUCAGCCAACCUAUGUGCCUCCCGUGGAGGUUCCGGAUAUGUCAAGUGACUAUGGCUAUGUGAUGCAAAGGUUAGGUUUUGUUUUCUUGAUUGGUUAGACAAGUCUUGUGUAUUUUGUAAAUAGGGCUAAGUCCCUUUUUGUCUAAUUUGUGUAUAUAUAUAAUGACAUAAGGAUGAUGUGUAUAUAUGCAUAUAAAGUUUUAAAA